rnacentral:rRNA from 1 species
UACGUAGGGGGCAAGCGUUUGUCCGGAAUCAUUGGGCGUAAAGCGCGUGUAGGCGGCCCGGUAAGUCCGCUGUGAAAGUCGGGGGCUCAACCCUCGAAUGCCGGUGGAUACUGUCGGGCUAGAGUGCGGAAGAGGCGAGUGGAAUUCCUGGUGUAGCGGUGAAAUGCGCAGAUAUCAGGAGGAACACCAAUUGCGAAGGCAGCUCGCUGGGACGUGACUGACGCUGAGACGCGAAAAGCGUGGGGGAGCAAACAGG